UUCUCAAGGGAGUCAGCUACCUAAAACAACAAUGGAGAGAAGCUGAUUAUGCACUGGAAAUGAAUAUUACACUAGCUUAUGUCAGUAAAAUACAGCUUCAGCUUUGCAUUGCUAAAUCUCUCUCAACAAAACAUGAGAAUCAUCAUUAUCAUAUCAUCUGUAACAUUCAACACCUUUCCCCAUCUUCUACUGAACAUUUUCAUUGAGCUUUUGGCAACAUCGUACCAUG
rnacentral:misc_RNA from 1 species